UCAGGAGAUAGUUUAUCCAAAAUAAUAGCUUUGGGAGUUGUAGAGGCAAGUUUGAAUCUUGUUCCCCUGAUC
rnacentral:tRNA from 1 species